CUUGCGCGCCGGCGGCUGUGCAGCUGGCUGCGGUGGGGUGCGGCGACCGACGGCUGCGCGCGCGCGGAGCAGGCAGCGGCCGGCGGAGGCGGAGCCGCGGAGGGCUGGUUGGCUGGGCUCGACCGGAGGACGGAGGUGCGGGCGUGCGGCCACGUGGAGCAGGACGCCGCCGCGCUGCGUCGGCGAGGCGUCGGAGGCUGGAGCAGUGCCUCCAGCCGCCGGCGGGGCACAGCGCCGCCGCCGAGCAGUCAAGGCAGAGGGCCGAGGCAGUGGGGCCGCCGGGCGCGGCCGCCUAGGGGACGGCCGGAGCAGGGCGUGCGGCUGCAGGCUGCAGGCAGAACUAGUCUUCCAAUGAAGAAAAAAGCAAAUGAAUGGUUAAUACAUCCUUUCUGUGGAUAGAAACCUUGGUUGAUCCAUCUUCUUACUACCUCAAGAUAUACCUGGCGAUCAAAAUUGAUCCCAAGGCACUGGUGCAGUUUAUCUUCCAAAAAUGUUUGGGGCUCUGGCUCUACUAAGACUCCAUGGCACAUGUUAAGUGCUCUGGAUUGCUAGCUACUAUCCACUUGCCAAUUUUGUUUAUUGGCUCACACAUGGACAGCUUCAGUUAUGCACAACCGUUUUUUACAUGGCUGUCUCCACAGUUUGUCAGAAGUAGCAGCAUCGGCAAUUCGUGUACCUAUUGCGAGCUAUGGGACAUCUGCACGACAAAGCAGAUCGAGGUUCCAACAUGACAGCGACAUCAACAGUGCACUAAAAGUUUUGGAUCUUGUACCAAGAAAGUCUGAAUAUGACAAAGUGGAAGGUCCACGCCAUCACCGACUAAUCCAUGACUGCAUGCGUGACAUCUUGGGGGUUCAAUCAAAUCAUACUCUACUCAAGGGAAACAGUAUAUCUUUUAACUCAUGCAGCAAUCCUGCACAAGUGAAAGUUGAUAGGUUUGUUUCAAAGAAUGUCUCAGCUUGCACUUCCAGGAUUAGAAUCUCAAAGGAUGACAUGUUUAUGCUGAUAGUGGAGCUACACAGGAAAGGGGAAGCCAGUGUAGAUCAAUCUAUUUUGGCAGCUGCUGUGAGUUCUUGCGCUGAUGGGAAAAAGUUUACCCAAGGUACACAGCUUCAUGCUCUAUUGGUUAAAGCUGGAUGUGAUUCAACUGUUUUUAUUGGUAGUUCACUCAUCACCUUAUAUUCAAGGUGUGGCCAGUUGGGAAGUUCGUACUUGGUUUUCCAGAGCAUGCCAACCAGAAACAUUGUGUUAUGGACAGCAAUGAUUUCUGGUUUUGCGCUACAUAAUCGUAUUGAGCCAUGUCUCCAUUUGUUUGCGUCAUUGAGGCUUUCCAGGUGCAAGCCAAAUGACAUCACAUUUGCCACUCUUUUCAGUGUGUGCACUAAACACGCACUUCUAGCACUUGGUAAAAGUCUUCAUGCUUUACAAAUGAGAAUGGGUUUCCAUUCAUAUGUGCAUGUUUCCAAUGCCCUGCUAUCUAUGUAUGCAAAGUGUGGGUGCAUCGAUGAAGCCCAGUCCAUAUUUGGGUGCAUUGCCUGGAAAGACCUGGUUUCCUGGAAUGCCAUGAUUUUUGGAUGUUCCCAGUAUGGCCUUGCUAAGCAUUGCCUGGACUUGCUGAAAGAAAUGGACAGGCAACACAUAGACCCAGACACGCUCUCCUUCCUUGGUGUCCUCUCAUCAUGCCGGCAUGCAUGCCUUGUGGAGGAAGGCCGAGAGUGCUUCAAGAAAAUGAUUGAGCAUGGAAUAAAUCCAGGGCUAGAUCACUACUCAUGUAUGGUCGACCUACUUGGGCGUGCCGGAUUGCUUCUAGAGGCGUGGGAUUUGAUCCAAACAAUGUCUGUCCCUCCAAAUGCCGUCAUAUGGGGCUCUCUGUUGGCUUCCUGUAGGGUGCAUGGGAACAUUUCGAUUGGCAUCCAAGCUGCAGAGCACCGUCUUAAACUGGAGCCAGGUUGUGCUGCAACUCAUAUACAGCUAGCAAAUCUGUAUGCUACAAUUGGUUGCUGGAGUGAUGUGGCCAGAGUGAGGAUGGCGAUGAAGGAGAGAGGCCUAAAGACGAACAUUGGGUGCAGUUGGAUAGAAGUUGGCAAUAAGGUUUAUUCCUUCACGGCAGAGAAUAGAUCAAAGAGCCACCAACUAAACAGUGUUCUGGUUAUUCUUGACUGUUUGCAAGCUCACAUGGAAUGCAAGUAUGAUAUACUUGCAGAAGGCCUGGAGUAGUUAGCUAUAUGGCUUUGAACAUGUCAAGACAACUAUAGAAACUGGAGUAUAUGAAGAGCAAUCCUACAGGAAACAGUUACUAGCCAAAGAUAUAGAAGAUCCAUUAGAAUGUCCAUUGAUAUGUUUGAAAAUAUGGAUGAGUUGCUAGUUUUCACAAUUCACGACCAAGAGGAUAUGCCGGCACUGUAUUUUCCAAGUCAGUUCCAGCUUUCUUCCUUUCAAUAUGUUCUUGUAGCUUGUUUGUUCCUCAUUAGUCCAAGCAGCCUGGAGUAUACUUAUUGUUGCAUUCUGCCAUCCCCAGUAAGCUGCAAUUGAUCUCCCCAAUCAUGUUAUAUUUGCCUAUCUGUUGGUUUAUCUCUAUAGAACAGCAGCCUGUUGUGGCGAAAGCGAUGGCAGGCCUACCAGUUGUGGGCAUCAGCAAAGGAGGUGCCGGAUCAUCAAGAAAACAACUGAAGGUUAGACGGCAUAAAACUUGUGAUGGCACAUCUCAAAUCUCUGCAGAUACGAUCUAUUACCUGUGAUAGAACGGUAGUUCUUGACAAAGUUAUUGAUAAAACAAGACAUCAUCAUGACAACUGUUCAGUGCUUAAAUGUCAGCCGAUGUGCCAACGGAAAUGAUAUUUGCAGGGAAA